rnacentral:piRNA from 1 species
UUAUAUCACAUUUGAUGACCA